rnacentral:rRNA from 1 species
CUUACACAUGCAGUCGAACGAUGAAGCUGGAGCUUGCUCCGGUGGAUUAGUGGCGAACGGGUGAGUAACACGUGAGCAAUCUGCCCUUGACUCUGGGAUAACUGCGGGAAACUGUAGCUAAUACCGGAUACGACACCUUGGGGCAUCCCAGGGUGUGGAAAGAAUUUCGGUCAAGGAUGAGCUCGCGGCCUAUCAGCUAGUUGGUGAGGUAAUGGCUCACCAAGGCGACGACGGGUAGCCGGCCUGAGAGGGUGACCGGCCACACUGGAACUGAGACACGGUCCAGACUCCUACGGGAGGCAGCAGUGGGGAAUAUUGCACAAUGGGCGAAAGCCUGAUGCAGCAACGCCGCGUGAGGGAUGAAGGCCUUCGGGUUGUAAACCUCUUUUAGCAGGGAAGAAGCGAAAGUGACGGUACCUGCAGAAAAAGCACCGGCUAACUACGUGCCAGCAGCCGCGGUAAUACGUAGGGUGCAAGCGUUGUCCGGAAUUAUUGGGCGUAAAGAGCUCGUAGGCGGUUUGUCGCGUCUGCUGUGAAAAUCCGAGGCUCAACCUCGGACCUGCAGUGGGUACGGGCAAACUAGAGUGCGGUAGGGGAGAUGGGAAUUCCUGGUGUAGCGGUGGAAUGCGCAGAUAUCAGGAGGAACACCGAUGGCGAAGGCACAUCUCUGGGCCGUAACUGACGCUGAGGAGCGAAAGCGUGGGGAGCGAACAGGAUUAGAUACCCUGGUAGUCCACGCCGUAAACGGUGGGUGCUAGUUGUGGGUUCCAUUCCACGGAAUCUGUGACGAAGUUAACACAUUAAGCACCCCGCCUGGGGAGUACGGUCGCAAGACUAAAACUCAAAGGAAUUGACGGGGGCCCGCACAAGCGGCGGAGCAUGCGGAUUAAUUCGAU